ACGGACUCCUACGGGAGGCAGCAGUAGGGAAUCUUCGGCAAUGGACGAAAGUCUGACCGAGCAACGCCGCGUGAGUGAAGAAGGUUUUCGGAUCGUAAAACUCUGUUGUUAGAGAAGAACAAGGACGUUAGUAACUGAACGUCCCCUGACGGUAUCUAACCAGAAAGCCACGGCUAACUACGUGCCAGCAGCCGCGGUAAUAAU
rnacentral:rRNA from 1 species